ACGAGAGAGAGAGAGCGCUGGGAGCUCUGACCCGAACGCAGCGACCUGGCAAGUGACCCGAUCGGAACUUCCACGUCCGGCCAUUCCACAACGGCGCGAGGCCACCAAUAGCUUUGUCUAGGCGUCGCCUACCUCCCUGUAUCCUCUGAUCGCCCAUACAUCGACUGUGAACGGAGAAUCGACGGCUGGAAGCUCCGAGACUUCUCCGGCGAGUUCCGCAAUUUCCGGCGACUCCGGCCACCAUCUAGGCUGCUUGGACAAGGUAUUUAGCAGCUGGCUAGGUAGAUCAUGUCGACACCCUCAGUUCAUCACCAACCCAGUUUCGACAGUGAGCUCGGGAAGCUGAGUUUGGGUUGGUUCAAGAGAUUUCCUAUUUCGAAGGUAUAAUCUCGAACUAGAUUCUUGUGCUGGUGAUCAGAAAUAAUGCUACUGAGCUUGGUUUGAUAUGAUGAAGUUGAAGGCUCUGUUAUCGAAUUGGUUAUGUUGUCUAGAAUUUUGAUUAUUUGAGUUGAUGUCUACUGUGGGCUAUGUCAAUUGUAAUGGUGAAUGAGUUUGGAAAGGGUUUCUUACAGUGAAUGUGUUUUGAAAAUGGUGAAUGUAGUUGGUCGACAUUUUGCAAGGUUUCCCAUCGCAGUUAGUAUUGAAAUGAUUUUGUUGAUUUGAA